UCCAGACUCCUACGGGAGGCAGCAGUAGGGAAUAUUGCACAAUGGGGGGAACCCUGAUGCAGCGACGCCGCGUGGGUGAAGGAGCGUUUCGGCGCGUAAAGCCCUAUCGGCAGGGAAGAAGGAGGACGGUACCUGACUAAGAAGCCCCGGCUAACUACGUGCCAGCAGCCGCGGUAAUACGUAGGGGGCAAGCGUUAUCCGGAUUUACUGGGUGUAAAGGGGGCGCAGACGGCAGCGCAAGCCAGGAGUGAAAGCCCGGGGCCCAACCCCGGGACUGCUCUUGGAACUGCGCGGCUGGAGUGCAGGAGGGGCAGGCGGAAUUCCUGGUGUAGCGGUGAAAUGCGUAGAUAUCAGGAGGAACACCGGUGGCGAAGGCGGCCUGCUGGACUGCGACUGACGUUGAGGCCCGAAAGCGUGGGGAGCAAACAGGAUUAGAUACCCGAGUA
rnacentral:rRNA from 1 species